rnacentral:ncRNA from 2 species
UUUUUUGGUGAAGGCGAUGAAUCGCGAUUAGUAUUUGGGCGCUUUAAUUGCGAGGAGCCAGUAGCGCAACCGAUCACUCGUCAG